UUUAACACAAGCAUCUGGAGUGAGUUCAAACUUCUUUGCCAACCCAUUUGAAAAAUCUUCAACUUCAGCGGACUCUGAGUUCCGCAGAUGGGUUAUUAUUCUCUUCUCUAGACCCUCCAACUCAGACCGAAUUCGAUGCAAAGUAGAAACACGCAAACACAGCUGUGGUACCCCAAACGAACUAUCCCCGUUCACUGUUGCAACCUGGGGAUUUGUCCUCUUCAUACCAUUUAUCGACUUCUCCUUCUUCUUCCACACACC
rnacentral:lncRNA from 1 species